rnacentral:sRNA from 1 species
UCACUCAAAUCUGUAGCAGCAUAUGGACCCACAAAUGGAGGCCAAAGCAGGCCCUCAAUUGGACACUUUGGCAACCCUGAAGAGACUUCUUCCCUUCAGACUUACUGUUUUAGUAUGUUCCAGAGAAGGGAGUGGCGUUCUUCUUGGGGAAUUCAGGAAGAGGGAGACACGCUGUUACUCUAUCCAUUAAAUAAAGCUUUGAUGUUCACAGCCCCCCGCCACCACUCAGAAAAAAAAAAUAAUUGCCUUGCUCUCUAAAACCGACUUCUGCCUUUUAUUGGACAGGAACAAGCUGAAAGCUGGAUACCUAAUGUCAGUGGAGUCUUCUGAGUGUUUCCUGGAAGAAGUCGGGUCCCAGGCUCUAGUUGCUGGUUCUUACGUGCCACCAUCCACAGUCCUUCAGCAGAUUGAUUCAGUGGCUAAUGCUGAUAUCAUAAAUGCUGCAAAGAAGUUUGUUUCUGGCCAGAAGUCGAUGGCAGCAAGUGGAAAUUUGGGACAUACACCUUUUGUUGAUGAGUUGUAAUACUGAUGCACACAUUACAGGAGAGAGCUGAACAUUCUCUCAGCCCAGAGCAGCAAACACAUGAAAGUCAGAAGUCUCUAAUAUAUCAUUUGUCUUUUUUCCAGUGAGGUAAAAUAAGGCAUAAAUGCAGGUAAUUAUUCCCAGCUGACCUAAAGUCAAUAAAACAUUCUGUUUAA